rnacentral:rRNA from 1 species
GAUGAACGCUAGCGGCAGGCCUAAUACAUGCAAGUCGGACGGGAUUCAGGAGCUUGCUUCUGAUGAGAGUGGCGCACGGGUGCGUAACACGUAUGUAACCUACCUUUAUCAGGGGGAUAGCCUCUCGAAAGAGAGAUUAAGCCCGCAUAAAAUCACAGCACAGCAUUGUGUAAUGAUCAAAUAUUUAUAGGAUAAAGAUGGGCAUGCGGAACAUUGGCUAGAUGGCGGGGUAACGGCCUACCAUGGCGACGAUGUUUAGGGGAUCUGAGGGGAUGGCCCCCCACACGGGUACUGAGACACGGACCAGACUCCUACGGGAGGCAGUGGUAAGGAAUAUUGGUGAAUGGACGGGAGCCUGAACGAGCCAUGCCGCGUGCAGGAAGACGGCGCUACGGGUUGUAAACUGCUUUUAUACGGGAAUAAUCCCAGGUACGUGUAUCUGGCUGAAUGUGCUGUAAGAAUAAGGAUCGGCUAACUACGUG